rnacentral:snoRNA from 1 species
AGACCAUGAUGAGGGCAUCUCUAUACAAGCAAUUUAAAAUGUUCCCAAGCCUUGUAGAAGUUUUCCCCUUCCAUUUGUUUGAAAUUGGCAAUAUCUCUUCUUAGUUG